ACCUGACUGCUAUCGGAUUGAUACUAAGCCAUGCGAGUCUUUGUAGUAAUACAAGGCAGACGGCUCAGUAACACGUAGUCAACCUACCCUAUGGACGAGAAUAAUCUCGGGAAACUGAGCAUAAUUCUUGAUAGAUCAUAAUGCCUGGAAUGGUUUAUGGUUAAAAUGAUUCGUCGCCAUAGGAUGGGACUGCGGCCUAUCAGCUUGUUGGUGAGGUAAUGGCCCACCAAGGCGAUUACAGGUACGGGCUCUGAGAGGAGAAGCCCGGAGAUGGGUACUGAGACACGGACCCAGGCCCUAUGGGGCGCAGCAGGCGAGAAAACUUUGCAAUGUGCGAAAGCACGACAAGGUUAAUCCGAGUGAUUUCUGCUAAAGAAAUCUUUUGCCAGUCAUAAAACCACUGGUGAAUAAGGGGUGGGCAAGUUCUGGUGUCAGCCGCCGCGGUAAAACCAGCACCUCAAGUGGUCAGGAUGAUUAUUGGGCCUAAAGCAUCCGUAGCCGGCUUUGUAAGUUUUCGGUUAAAUCCAUGUGCUCAACGCAUGGGCUGCCGAAAAUACUGCAUGGCUAGGGAGUGGGAGAGGUAGACGGUACUCAGUAGGAAGGGGUAAAAUCCUUUGAUCUAUUGAUGACCACCUGUGGCGAAGGCGGUCUACCAGAACACGUUCGACGGUGAGGGAUGAAAGCUGGGGGAGCAAACCGGAUUAGAUACCCGGGUAGUCCCAGCUGUAAACGAUGCAGACUCGAUGAUGCAUUGGCAUAAUAGCCAGUGCAGUGUCGCAGGGAAGCCGUUAAGUCUGCCGCCUGGGAAGUA
rnacentral:rRNA from 1 species